AUCCAGCUGAUGAGUCACAAAAAGGACGAAACGCGCGUCCUGGAU
rfam:Schistosoma haematobium scaffold972_15, whole genome shotgun sequence.